CAGGGUGCUGAGUCAUCUCGGGGGCUUCCAGCAUGCAAGCCUAUCCUAGAAUCCACUCUGAUUAAACGACAUAUAUGAGAUGCAGUCCAUGUGUACGAACCUUUAAUGAGGUUUGAGUGGGGAAAAGGUUACUGAAGGUCAGCCACAAGAUCUGGCAGGCAUGUGAUCUGGAUUGGAGCUGCAGAGAUUUUCUGAGUCUUUUGUUGUUUUUAUUUCUGCUUCUCUUAGAACAAUGGAAGAAGGCAUGGCCCUCGGGUAUUGCUCAAAUUCAGGACAAGAAGAACCUGGAAAGGAUCUCUAGAAGGGGCCCACAGCACUCCAGAACCCCAGUAAUAUUUUUGGCAAAGCCAGCCAGAAGAAAGAAAGAUACUGUCAUCUACAUCCCAAGACAACAGGGACAGGAAGAGCAUUCCAAUGAUGGCUCCCCUAGCUCAUCUGACCAGCACUACUCUUGUUC
ensembl:lncRNA